CAGUAGCCGCGGGAAUACGUAUGUCACAAGCGUUAUCCGGAUUUAUUGGGCGUAAAGCGCGUCUAGGUGGUUAUGUAAGUCUGAUGUGAAAAUGCAGGGCUCAACUCUGUAUUGCGUUGGAAACUGUGUAACUAGAGUACUGGAGAGGUAAGCGGAACUACAAGUGUAGAGGUGAAAUUCGUAGAUAUUUGUAGGAAUGCCGAUGGGGAAGCCAGCUUACUGGACAGAUACUGACGCUAAAGCGCGAAAGCGUGGGUAGCAAACAGGAUUAGAUACCCCCGUAGUCCCUGUCUCUUAUACA
rnacentral:rRNA from 1 species